rnacentral:rRNA from 1 species
GACGAACGCUGGCGGCGUGCCUAAUACAUGCAAGUAGAACGCACAGUUUAUACCGUAGCUUGCUACACCAUAGACUGUGAGUUGCGAACGGGUGAGUAACGCGUAGGUAACCUGCCUGGUAGCGGGGGAUAACUAUUGGAAACGAUAGCUAAUACCGCAUAAUAUUAAUUAUUGCAUGAUAAUUAAUUGAAAGGUGCAAUUGCGCCACUACCAGAUGGACCUGCGUUGUAUUAGCUAGUAGGUGAGGUAACGGCUCACCUAGGCGACGAUACAUAGCCGACCUGAGAGGGGGAUCGGCCACACUGGGACUGAGACACGGCCCAGACUCCUACGGGAGGCAGCAGUAGGGAAUCUUCGGCAAUGGACGAAAGGCUGAACGAGCAACGCCGCGGGAGGGAAGAAGGUUUUCGGAUCGUAAAGCUCUGUUGUAAGAGAAGAACGGGUGUGGGAGGGGAAAGUUCACACUGUGACGGUAUCUUACCAGAAAGGGACGGCUAACUACGUG